GGGUGGGUAGGGGGGGGAGGUGAUAGGUGAGGUGGGUGAUGGAGGACUCUCUCCUGGUAGGUGACGUUUCCACGCACAGGUUGACUCGCCUGUACGUGAAAGACUCACCUGUACGUGGGGGGGGGGGUGGAGGUUUUAUCUACAAGCGGUUCCAACUCCUGCCGUAGAGAGUUGACUUGGCCCAUCAUCCUCGUCAUCCUCGUCAUCCUCGUCCUCCUACCAGCGGUCGAUGACGACAACAACAAACAAACGAAUUGGCACCACCUCCUGUUUGUGCAAAUGAUCUUUUUUGGCAUCCGUCCUGAGCCGUUGCCAUAGGAAUGUGGAAUGUCCAUCAACGAUUUUCUUUUUAACCAACAAAAAUUUAAAACCUCAACGUGACCUUGACCUCAAACACAGCCAGUGGAGGGGGCAGUCAAUCGACCAAUCGGAUGUGAGAGAUUAUUGAUACGUAGGCGGCCAAUCGCAUGGCUGCGUGAAUCCGUCCAAUCCCUGAGGUCGUUCGCUAAGACUCCCCCCCGAAUUCUGACGUCAGACUGACCCAACCCACCACCACCACCACCCUCUAACCUUUGACACUUUUUAAAAAUGUGUGCGUUUUUAAAUGUUCCGUCUCUUCGUAAUUAAACCUGUUCAGGAAAUGAUUAGACACGCAUCUGAUUCGCGUUCACAUGCCUCUCAACCCCUUAGCAGUGCUGCCCUGCCUUAUAACAGACCAAUUCAGAACUCACUGGUCACCCCGUGCCCCUUUAUAAAUGCAAUGUGGUGAAUACUUGACCAGUGGUAGUGGUCACUCUACUGACCACUGAGAAGUCACCCUAGCUGGCUAAACACGGCUGUAGUUGUCACUCUACUGACCACUGAGAAGUCACCCUAGCUGGCUAAAGACCACCGUGGAGGUCACUCUACUGACCACUGAGAAGUCACCCUACUGACCACUCUACUGACCACUCUACUGACCACUGAGAAGUCACCCUAGCUGGCUAAACACCACCGUGGUGGUCACUCUACUGACCACUGAGAGGUCACCCUAGCUGGCUAAACACCACUGUGGAGGUCACUCUACUGACCACUGAGAGGUCACCCUAGCUGGCUAAACACCACCGUGGUGGUCACUCUACUGACCACUGAGAAGUCACCCUAGCUGGCUAAACACCACCGUGGUGGUCACUCUACUGACCACUGAGAAGUCACCCUAGCUGACUAAACACCACCGUGGUGGUCACUCUACUGACCACUGAGAGGUCACCCUAGCUGGUUAAACACCACCGUGGUGGUCACUCUACUGACCACUGAGAGGUCACCCUAGCUGACUAAACACGGCCGUGGUGGUCACUCUACUGACCACUGAGAAGUCACCCUAGCUGACUAAACACCACUGUGGUGGUCACUCUACUGACCACUGAGAAGUCACCCUAGCUGGCUAAACACGGCUGUAGUUGUCACUCUACUGACCACUGAGAAGUCACCCUAGCUGGCUAAAGACCACCGUGGAGGUCACUCUACUGACCACUGAGAAGUCACCCUACUGACCACUCUACUGACCACUCUACUGACCACUGAGAAGUCACCCUAGCUGGCUAAACACCACCGUGGUGGUCACUCUACUGACCACUGAGAGGUCACCCUAGCUGGCUAAACACCACUGUGGAGGUCACUCUACUGACCACUGAGAGGUCACCCUAGCUGGCUAAACACCACCGUGGUGGUCACUCUACUGACCACUGAGAAGUCACCCUAGCUGGCUAAACACCACCGUGGUGGUCACUCUACUGACCACUGAGAAGUCACCCUAGCUGACUAAACACCACCGUGGUGGUCACUCUACUGACCACUGAGAGGUCACCCUAGCUGGUUAAACACCACCGUGGUGGUCACUCUACUGACCACUGAGAGGUCACCCUAGCUGACUAAACACGGCCGUGGUGGUCACUCUACUGACCACUGAGAAGUCACCCUAGCUGACUAAACACCACUGUGGUGGUCACUCUACUGACCACUGAGAGGUCACCCUAGCUGACUAAACACCAACCGUGGUGGUCACUUUACUGACCACUGAGUAGUCACCCUAACUGACUAAACACCACCGUGGUGGUCACUCUACUGACCACUGAGUAGUCACCCUAGCUGACUAAACACCAACCGUGGUGGUCACUCUACUGACCACUGAGAGGUCACCCUAGCUGACUAAACACCACCGUGACGGUCACUCUACUGACCACUGAGAAGUCACCCUAGCUGACUAAACACCACCGUGGUGGUCACUCUACUGACCACUGAGAGGUCACCCUAGCUGGCUAAACACCACCGUGACGGUCACUCUACUGACCACUGAGAAGUCACCCUAGCUGACUAAACACCACCGUGGUGGUCACUCUACUGACCACUGAGAGGUCACCCUAGCUGACUAAACACCACCGUGGUGGUCACUCUACUGACCACUGAGAGGUCACCCUAGCUGGUUAAACACCACCGUGGUGGUCACUCUACUGACCACUGAGAGGUCACCCUAGCUGACUAAACACCACCGUGGUGGUCACUCUACUGACCACUGAGUAGUCACCCUAGCUGACUAAACACCAACCGUGGUGGUCACUCUACUGACCACUGAGAGGUCACCCUAGCUGACUAAACACCACCGUGACGGUCACUCUACUGACCACUGAGAAGUCACCCUAGCUGACUAAACACCACCGUGGUGGUCACUCUACUGACCACUGAGAGGUCACCCUAGCUGGCUAAACACCACCGUGACGGUCACUCUACUGACCACUGAGAAGUCACCCUAGCUGACUAAACACGGCCGUAGUGGUCACUCUACUGACCACUGAGAAGACACCCUAGCUGACUAAACACCACCGUGGUGGUCACUCUACUGACCACUGAGAAGUCACCCUAGAUGGCUAAACACCACCGUGACGGUCACUCUACUGACCACUGAGAGGCCACCCUAGCUGGUUAAACACUACCGUGGUGGUCACUCUACUGACCACUGAGUAGUCACCCUAGCUGACUAAACACCACUGUGGUGGUCACUCUACUGACCACUGAAAAGUCACCCUAGCUGACUAAACACCACUGUGGUGGUCACUCUACUGACCACUGAGAAGUCACCCUAGCUGACUAAACACGGCCGUGGUGGUCACUCUACUGACAACUGCGAAGUCCCCCUAGCUGACUAAACACCAACCGUGGUGGUCACUCUACUGACCACUGAGUAGUCCCCCUAGCUGACUAAACACGGCCGUGGUGGUCACUCUACUGACCACUGAUAAGUCACCCUAGCUGACUAAACACCACCGUGACGGUCACUCUACUGACCACUGAGUAGUCACCCUAGCUGGCUAAACACCACCGUGGUGGUCACUCUACUGACCACUGAGAAGUCCCCCUAGCUGACUAAACUCCACCGUGGUGGUCACUCUACUGACCACUGAGAGGUCACCCUAGCUGACUAAACACCACCGUGGUGGUCACUCUACUGACCACUGAGAGGUCACCCUAGCUGGCUAAACACCACCGUGGUGGUCACUCUACUGACCACUGAGAGGUCACCCUAGCUGGCUAAACACCACUGUGGUGGUCACUCUACUGACCACUGAGAAGUCACCCUAGCUGGCUAAACACCACCGUGGAGGUCACUCUACUGACCACUGAGAAGUCACCCUAGCUGACUAAACACCACCGUGGUGGUCACUCUACUGACCACUUAGAGGUCAACCUAGCUGGCUAAACACCACCGUGGUGGUCACUCUACUGACCACUGAGAGGUCACCCUAGCUGGCUAAACACCACCGUGGUGGUCACUGUGGGGAGUGAUAGUGUAGUGGUUACCGCUACAAAGCCGGCGACCCGAGUUCGAUUCCCGCUCACGGCCAACGCCGGUGACGAUUGCCUGAACCGGUCCUGGGCCUCCUCCCCUAGGUCGACUCGGGUUCAAAAACGAGUCCCUGGUGUAGUGCAGUAAACACGGCCACUAGGGAGACAAAGGCGGCCGGGCGUGGUGCUGGUCACCCACCCCUUCGUGUGCCGUGGCCGGCCUUUCGUAGGUGGUGCUUGCUCGCUAACAGCACUCGCCCCUACAGUCUGCCAAAGCUACUUGGGAGAUCUCUGUUUUUGUGAGCGAGAUGGCGUGCGUGAUCUGCAGGUGAACUUUGCACGAAUUUGCACGAACGAAGUCGAUUUUAAGUGCGGUACGGCGUUUGCCCCCUCAAUCGGAUGAACUGUAAACUAUUUUUUUUUAAUUCCACCACGUGUAAGGCCCACUAUUGAGCUGCUAUAAUAGCUGUGAUAUUUCAGAUAGCGACCUGGCUAUAGCAAACGCCUCGCAUAUACAGGAGGUCGUGGGUUCGAUCCUGAUCCUUACUACUGCUGCUGUAUACAGGGUGCUUAAAAUAAAAAAAAGUUUUUAACACUUAUACGAGACUCUCGUUUUUUAAUGGAAAAAGAGCGGGUAACAAUAACACCGUAACAUGAUCACAAAUGGAAUGUUAAUA